rnacentral:snRNA from 1 species
GUGCUCGCUUUGGCAGCGCAUUUACUAAAAUUGGAAUGACACUGAGAAGAUUAGCAUGGCCCCUGCACAAGAAUGACACACAAAUUUGUGAAGCGUUACAUAUUUUU